rnacentral:rRNA from 1 species
CAGUAGCCACGGGAACACGAAGGGUGCAAGCGUUAAUCGGAAUUACCGGGCGUAAAGCGUGCGUAGGCGGUUUGUUAAGUCUGUUGUGAAAUCCCCGGGCUCAACCUGGGAAUGGCAAUGGAUACUGGCAAGCUAGAGUGUGUCAGAGGAUGGUGGAAUUCCCGGUGUAGCGGUGAAAUGCGUAGAGAUCGGGAGGAACAUCAGUGGCGAAGGCGGCCAUCUGGGACAACACUGACGCUGAGGCACGAAAGCGUGGGGAGCAAACAGGAUUAGAUACCCCCGUAGUCCCUGUCUCUUAUAC